UACCAGCACCCCCGAGUGGUCGGGACGAUUAUUGGGCCUAAAGCAUCCGUAGCCGGUCAUGCAAGUCUUCCGUUAAAUCCAGCCGCUCAACGGUUGGGCUGCGGAGGAUACUACGUGGCUAGGAGGCGGGAGAGGCAAGCGGUGACUCAGUGGGUAGGGGUAAAAUCCUUUGAUCCAUUGAAGACCACCAGUGGCGAAGGCGGCUUGCCAGAACGCGCUCGACGGUGAGGGAUGAAAGCUGGGGGGAGCAAACCGG
rnacentral:rRNA from 1 species